GAUGAAGAACGCAGUGAAAUGCGAUACUUGGUGUGAAUUGCAGAAUCCCGUGAACCAUCGAGUCUUUGAACGCAAGUUGCGCCCGAAGCCAUUAGGCCGAGGGCACGCCUGCCUGGGUGUCACACGUCGUUGCCCCCCCAUCUACUCCUUCGGGAUUGCGGGGGGCGGAUGAUGGCCUCCCGUGCGCCUCGUCGCGCGGUUGGCAUAAAUGCCAAGUCCUCAGCGACGCACGCCACGACAAUCGGUGGUUGCGAAACCUCGGUUGCCCGUCGUGUGCGGUCGUCGCGCAUCGAGGGCUCGAAAAAAUUGCCGGGCUCCGGCUCGGCUUUCAACGCGACCCCAGGUCAGGCGGGGUUACCCGCUGAAUUUAAGCAUAUCAAUAAGCGGAGGA
rnacentral:misc_RNA from 1 species